ensembl:lncRNA
GGGCUGAUGAAAUCUAUAAAAGGAUUUGAUGACGUGUGGGAGGAAAGCAGCUGGAACAGCAAGGAAAGAAUUUGGUGGCUGCAUUUCUCACAGUGAGAAGAUUUCAUUGGAUAUUGGGAAAUUUGGACUGUAUUGCUCUUUUCAUUCAGUUCCUUUUUCUCUGCAAGAAACUCUUGAAUAUAUUUGUAAUGACAAGAGAAACCUUUUUUGCUUCUACAAAAUUUAUAGCAGCGUUCUAUUUUUCUGCCAGAAAAUCCUCUUACAGGUGCUCCCAGUGACAGCACAGCAACUGGGAAUUCAAGGUCAGAUCCCAUAGCUGAGAAAAUUCGCAAACAAAUACAGUGAUGCUGAAGGCAGAAGGAAAAGAGGGAAAAGACAAUGAUGGAUUUCCAGCCUAUGAAGUGUAAGGGAAGUAUCCAAAAAUCCACAAGCAUCAGGAUAAUGCUGAGUACUUAAAGGAAGCAAAUAAUGUGACCUGGCGGCUCCGUUCACGAGUGAAUUUGCACUGCAUUCAAUCAGCCCUACCAAACAUGAUGGCACGUAUGUCCCUACGAGACCUCCACUGGGAGAGCUGUGUCUGUUUAAAGGGGAACAUCUGCUCUACUUGUCACCCCACGGCUGCAUGCUACCCGAGGACAUGCGGAUGGUCAGUAUUUCCGCCUGAUGCCAGCAUAUAAAAGCUGCCUGAAAGAAGGCUCCGUGACAACAAGCACUGGGAGGAUGGAGCACUGAGCCUGCAGCAAAUAUCUGAAUUUAUUCAAAAACUACAAAGCAGAAGUGAACUCUAGAUGCUGAAGACAGAUGGACCACCAGAUGGACCCUGGGAAGGAUUGGUUAAAAUGUCAGUGAUAAGCUAACAGAAUGAAAUGCAGUAGACUGAGGAGACUAUUCCGCUGAAAACCAUCUACUGAAAUGGGGUUUGUAUUAUUCACAUUCAUUAAAGCACACUUCAACUGUGCUGUUUUGACAUUUUCUGUUUCGAGACUUUCAAGUCAAGCAGCUCUGUGCUUGCUGUUUUGCUGGGGUUUUUUUUCUUUUCCAAAUGGUUGUUUGAUGAUAGAUUUUCAAAAGUGACCCUAGCUCUUUAAGGUGAUUGCUUUGCCAUUGAGGAAUCUUGCCAUUGUUAUAUUCAGCCAUCAAACUUACAAGUACACCAAUUCAGACUCUGAAGAGCAAACUGAUGUAAGGAUGAAGAUUAUAUAAGGGACAGAAGUGAGUUAUUGCUUGCUUCUGGUAAACUAGCAUAACUUGCUUUCCAAUUCUUACCGUACAUUUACCUGCAAUACUAAUUUCAACAACUUCUUUGGAUUAAGCCUUGAGAAUUUCAUUACAGACAUGGAAAGAAAUGCAUACACGUGGCAGUGUAUCAGCAGUAGGGAACAAGCUAAGACGGGUCAGAAAGACUCCAGGCAGAAGCUUUGUUGCAAAACAGAAACACAAAAUAGAGAUUUGCCUGAUUUCAUAUGGUUCAUCAUUCAGCUGCUUGAUUUCUCCACUCUUCAUUUGCUUCACAAGAAAAAAGCUGUUUCUUUCAAACUUGCAAUAUUAGUUGUGAUUCUGCACCAGUGCCACAUGGCUGGUCUACCCAUAACUUCAUAAGGGAUAUUCUGCAGUUUCAAGUACAAAUCAAUUGUCACAAGAUCAACAUCAAAAUAUCUUCUUUACUGAGUCACACUAUAAAUUCUAUCAUGAAUAUUGCCACUCAAUGAUUCAUAAAUAAAAACAAACGUUAGCAUUGAGAGGUAUUCCUCUCUUACUUGAAAGAAUUCCCA